rnacentral:rRNA from 1 species
AUACGUAGGGAGCGAGCGUUGUCCGGAAUUACUGGGUGUAAAGGGAGAGUAGGCGGCAUGAUAAGUUAGAUGUGAAAGCCUUGGGCUUAACCCGAGGAUUGCAUUUAAAACUAUCAAGCUAGAGUACAGGAGAGGUAAGUGGAAUUCCUAGUGUAGCGGUGAAAUGCGUAGAUAUUAGGAGGAACACCAGUGGCGAAGGCGGCUUACUGGACUGUAACUAACACUGAGGCUCGAAAGCGUGGGGAGC